UACGGGGGGGGGCAAGCGUUGUUCGGAAUUACUGGGCGUAAAGGGCUCGUAGGCGCCAACUAAGUCAGACGUGAAAUCCCUCGGCUUAACCGGAGAACUGCGUCUGAUACUGGUUGGCUUGAAUCCGGGAGGAGGGAUGUGGAAUUCCAGGUGUAAGCGGUGAAAUGCGUAGAUAUCUGGAGGAACACCGGUAGCGGAAGGCGGCAUCCUGGGACCGGUAUUGGACGCUGAGGAGCGAAAGCCAAGGGAGCAAACGGGG
rnacentral:rRNA from 1 species